GGACGCUGGCGGCAGGCUACACAUGCAAGUCGAACGGAUCCUUCGGGAUUAGUGGCGGACGGGUGAGUACAAGAACGUGCCCUUUGGUUCGGAACAACUCAGGAAACUUGAGCUAAUACCGGAUGUGCCCUUCGGGGGAAAGAUUUAUCGCCAUUGGAGCGGCCCGCGUCUGAUUAGCUAGUUGGUGGGGUAAAGGCCCACCAAGGCGACGAUCAGUAGCUGGUCUGAGAGGAUGAUCAGCCACAUUGGGACUGAGACACGGUCCAAACUCCUACGGGAGGCAGCAGUGGGGAAUCUUGCGCAAUGGGCGAAAGCCUGACGCAGUCAUGCCGCGUGAAUGAUGAAUGUCUUAGGAUUGUAAAAUUCUUUCACCCGGGGACGAUUAUGACGGUACCCGGAGAAGAAGCCCGGCUUACUUCGUGCCAGCAGACCGGGGUAAUACCGAAGGGGGGCUAAGCGUUGCUCGGAAAUAACUGGGCCGUAAAGGGAGCGUAGGCGGACUGGUUAGUUAAAGGUUAACGCCCUGGGUCAACCUUGGAAUUGGCUUUGAAUACUGGCGUCUUCAACGGCCCGUC
rnacentral:rRNA from 1 species